GGCCUUUUUGGGCUUGGUGAUUGGAAUGAGGGAGAGUCAAACGGACCAUCGAGUAUCCAUUGGAGGGCAAGUCUGGUGCCAGCAGCUGCGGUAAUACCAGCUCCAAUAGCGUAUAUUAAAGUUGUUGCAGUUAAAAAGCUCGUAGUUGGACUUGUGUGCGCUGUCCGCGGGUGGCCUGCGCCCAAAAGGGCGUUUCGGUUCGGCCCCGGUGGCGCCUUGAAAUCUGCAGCUGGGGGGACGUUGGCCUUAACUGGUCGGCGACCGCACGCCGGCUGCUCGGUUACUGUGAGAAAAUUAGAGUGUUCAAGGCAGGCAUUGGGUGCAAUUGAAUACAUUAGCAUGGAAUAAUAAAAUAUGGCUCCUGCCGUAUUUUGUUGGUUUUGACUGGUGGGAGUAAUGAUUGAUAGGGACGGUUGGGGGUGCUAGUAUUGAGCGGCCAGAGGUGAAAUUCAUGGAUUCGCUCAAGACUAACUUAUGCGAAAGCAUUCACCAAGGACGUCCUCUUUAAUCAAGAACGAAAGUUGGGGGAUCGAAGACGAUCAGAUACCGUCGUAGUCUCAACCAUAAACUAUGUCGACUUGGGAUCGGCGGUAGUUUUUUCAUUAAGACACUGUCGGGACCACGGGAGAAAUCAAAGUGUCUGGACUCUGGGGGAAGUAUGGUCGCAAGGCUGAAACUUGAAGGAAUUGACGGAAGGGCACCACCAGGAGUGGAGCCUGCGGCUUAAUUUGACCCAACACGGGGAAACUUACCAGGUCCAGAGAUAUAGAGGAUUGACAGAUUGAAGCUCUUUCUUGAUCACUUCGGUGGUGGUGCAUGGCCGUUCUUAGUUGGUGGAGUGAUUUGUCUGGUUAAUUCCGUUAACGAACGAGACCUCAGCCUGCUAGUGUAGUCGGCUGGAUUGCCUUUGGCGAUCCGUGAUUUCGACUUCUUAGAGGGACAAUCGACGCGCAGUCGAUGGAAGUUUGAGGCAAUAACAGGUCUGUGAUGCCCUUAGAUGUUCUGGGCCGCACGCGCGCUACACUGCUGGGCUCAGCGAGUUUUAUUUGGCCGAGAGGCCCGGUUAAUCUUGUGAAAUCCCAGCGUGCUUGGGCUCGCCUCCUGCAACUGGAGGCGCCAACGAGGAAUUCCUAGUAGACGCAGGUCAUCAACCUGCAUCGAUUACGUCCCUGCCCUUUGUACACACCGCCCGUCGUUCCAUAAGAGUGAGGCAUCCGGUGAGUUCUCGGGAGAGCCUGGGCGUGGCCAGCAAUGGUCUGCUCGGGUUUGAACUUGCAUAAACUUGGUGCCUAUGAUUAGGG
rnacentral:rRNA from 1 species